GACGAACGCUGGCGGCGUGCCUAAUACAUGCAAGUAGAACGCACAGUUUAUACCGUAGCUUGCUCCACCAUAGACUGUGAGUUGCGAACGGGUGAGUAACGCGUAGGUAACCUGCCUGGUAGCGGGGGAUAACUAUUGGAAACGAUAGCUAAUACCGCAUAAUAUUAAUUAUUGCAUGAUAAUUAAUUGAACGGUGCAAUUGCACCACUACCAGAUGGACCUGCGUUGUAUUAGCUAGUAGGUGAGGUAACGGCUCACCUAGGCGACGAUACAUAGCCGACCUGAGAGGGUGAUCGGCCACACUGGGACUGAGACACGGCCCAGACUCCUACGGGAGGCAGCAGUAGGGAAUCUUCGGCAAUGGACGAAAGUCUGACCGAGCAACGCCGCGUGAGUGAAGAAGGGUUUCGGAUCGUAAAGCUCUGUUGUAAGAGAAGAACGGGUGUGAGAGUGGAAAGUUCACACUGUGACGGUAUCUUACCAGAAAGGGACGGCUAACUACGUG
rnacentral:rRNA from 1 species